UAUAUAAUUUAAUUUUUAAGUUGUAAAGCUUAAAUAUAUAUGUUAGACGAGAAGACCCUAUAGAUCUUAAUAUUUAAUAUUUAAUUUUAUUAAGGAUUAAUUUAUAGAUUAUUUGUAAAAAUAUUUUAUUGGGGUAAUAUAAAGAUUUAAUGAAUUCUUUAUAAAUCAAACAUUGAUUAUUGAUUUAGUUGAUCCAUUAUUAAUGAAAUAAGAUUAAGUUACCUUAGGGAUAACAGCGUAAUUUUUUUAGAGAGUUCAUAUCGAUAAAAAAGUUUGCGACCUCGAUGUUGGAUUAAAAGUAAUCUUAGGUGCAGUAAUUUAAGGUUUUGGUCUGGGGCGACCAUUAAAAUUUUACA
rnacentral:rRNA from 1 species